AAUGGGCGCAAGCCUGAUCCAGCCAUGCCGCGUGAGUGAUGAAGGCCCUAGGGUCGUAAAGCUCUUUCGCCUGUGAAGAUAAUGACGGUAGCAGGUAAAGAAACCCCGGCUAACUCCGUGCCAGCAGCCGCGGUAAUACGGAGGGGGUUAGCGUUGUUCGGAAUUACUGGGCGUAAAGCGCGCGUAGGCGGAUUAGUCAGUCAGAGGUGAAAUCCCAGGGCUCAACCCUGGAACUGCCUUUGAUACUGCUAGUCUUGAGUUCGAGAGAGGUAAGUGGAAUUCCGAGUGUAGAGGUGAAAUUCGUAGAUAUUCGGAGGAACACCAGUGGCGAAGGCGGCUUACUGGCUCGAUACUGACGCCGAGGUGCGAAAGUGUGGGGAGCAAACAGGAUU
rnacentral:rRNA from 1 species